rnacentral:lncRNA from 1 species
UGAGUUAUGGCCUUUUAAAGUUGAGCAGUUGGCAGGGAAUCCGUCCGGAAAUUUUAAGGGCAUUUUGGUCUUUUCUCUAGUUUUUCUUUUGGGGUUAUAUUGUGUGUUAGGCUGAUUUUGGAUCAUUUUUAUCCCAUUUUAAAAGAGAAAGAGUUAGGGUUCUUGAGAGUGAAGAAGAGAAGAAGAAGAGAAGAAGAGGAGAAGAAGAGGAAAAAGAGGAGAUCAACAAGUUUCCGUCGUGGAUUUUCGUCGGGGUGAUCCCUAUCAAGGUAUGUGAGUUCCUUGUGUGGGUUGAUCCUUUCCCCCACACACCAAGCUCAUUUUUAUGAUUUGAGAAAGGAUUGGAUUUGUUGUUGAAGUUGUUGGAAUUGUUGAAGUUGUUAGUUGUUAUUGUUGAAAUUAUUGUUGGUGUUGUUGUUGAUUAUGAUGUUGAGAUUCUUGUUGAUUCGGGACUUGUUUCCGGUUGUGUUUUGAGUUGUAAUCCAUGGUAUGUUGAGGGAUAUGAUGAUCCUUAGUGGUUUGGGUUGAAACCCUUGAACUAAGGGUGGUUUAGAGUUGGCAAAACAAGGGAGAAAAGUUGAGUUUCUGGGCAAGGAGGUUGGCGCGUCGCGCCUGCCAGCGCGCCCCAAGAGGGGUUCUGAACUUUACCUCUUGGGGCGGCCCGCCACUCAGAGCACCAGCAAGUGCCUUCUGAGCUUCGAGGGCUCGUGCUCCGCCCCUUGCAGAGCGCCAAGGACGCUAUGUUCUCCCUUUCUUUCCACACUUUCUCAUGCAUGUUCCUAGGUAUUAUACCUAUGUUUCCAAGUUGUUUCCAACACUUCAAGUUGCGUUUAAAUGUCAAGAACUCAUCUAUAACAUGUGAUUAUAUACCUUGAAUCCAUAAUCCAAUUUAAGGCGAGUGAGUAUCAAGUUAAAGAGAAGUUAGAGUCAAGUCAAGUAAGGUUAAGAAGUAAGCUCAAGCAGAAAGUGAGCUGGAAUAGGAUGCUCUGGCAGCGUGAGGUCCAUCGCUGUAUCACCACUUAGGUUCAUAGUGGUGGUUGUCGGUUAGAGAAACUCCCACAGCAGAAAGUGCAUGGUUCCUCAAAGAGUCUUGCUUAGUAUGAAUGGGGGUAUGGGACUUCAUUCAUGCAUUGCGUGCGUACACUUUGAGAGGAAGCACGCUAUAUUUUUUAUGAUAUAAUGACUAUGAUGUUGACGUUCAUGUUUUAAGAGUUUUACAAGUUUUAUAUAUAUUGCAUGUGUCUCAUUGCUUUAUAUUGAGUCCAGUUAUUCAUGAGUUGAACAGAGCCAAGGUAAGUUCUCUUUUGUAUCCCUUUCAAGCUUAAGUUGUUGUUUAGCGGUCCAGCUCGUAUACUCGUACAUUCCAUGUACUGAUGCCAGUUGGCCUGCAUCGUUUUAUGAUGCAGAUGCAGGUACCCAGGAUUAGCAUCCAGCACGCCAUUGAUCCAGUUGAGCACUCCAGAGUCAGUGGUGAGCCUCCUUGCUUCCUGAGGGCUCAGUUAUUUUGUUCUCUCAUUUUUGUUUUAUUAGGGUGUUGCGGGGUCUAUCUUAACAUCAAUCUAAGUAUUUUAGAGGCUUCAUAGAUAGUCAGUCAGUUAGUUUUGAGUCUCUCAUCUAUGUAUAUAUGUAAAUAUUUUAUUUUGAGACUCGAGUUGCCUUUUUGGCCAGAUGUGUAUCAUUUAAGUUGUUUAUGUCUUUGCAUGGCAUUGAGUUAUUCUGUUGAGUAGGUUUUCGCUGAGUUAAUAAAGCCAAGCCAAGGGUUCGCUUGGGGCCAACAAUGGUCUCCGAGUGCCGGUCCCGCCCAGGGUGUAGGCUCAGGGCGUGACAAACUUGGUAUCAGAGCUCAGAGUUCAAGAGUCCUAGGGAGUCUAUGAAGCCGUGUCUGUAGAGCCCUAGUUAUCGGUGUGAAGCGCGCCACAUCUAUAGUUUAGGAGGCUGCAACAUUUAGGAAGAUUUCUCACUUCUUUCGCACUCAUAUCGUGCGUUAGAGCUUAUCUCUAAAAAGUUUCCUUCUAAUUCGUGUUUGCGCAUGUUUUCAGAGGAUUAUGCCUCCACGAAGAGCAGUCAGAGUUAGUCCAGCUAUAAAGAGUGUUGAGGAACAAGAGUUACCGAAUGCCCUAAAAGUUCAAACCGAAGAAGAGAUCAAAUAUGUUGAUUUUCGUGAAGCUAUCCGGAUGUGAAGUCAAGUUUCGACCUAUCAUGUUGGGCAGAGAGAUAAUCAACAUGAAAUGGUUGAUACUUCAAGAAUCUGUGAACUCUUAAGGAUGAACCCACCAAGCUUCACAGGUUCAAGUGUGACUGAGAAUCCAGAGAACUUUAUUGAGUAGCUAAAAAGGGUAUUUGAUGUGAUACAUGUUGCUGAGUCGGAGAGGGUGGAACUAGCUGCAUACCAAUUGAAGGGUGUUGCUAGAAUUUGGUUCGACCAAUGGAAAAAGAAUAGGGCUGAGGAUGAGCCAGUAGUGAGUUGGGUUGUGUUUGAGAGUGCUCUCAUGGGGCGUUUCUUUCCUCGUGAGUUGCGAGAGGCAAAUAUAAAAGAGUUUCUCACCCUUAAUUCGGAGUCUAUGAGUGUUCAUGAGUACAGUCAGAAGUUCACACAACUUUCCCGCUAUGCUCCAGAGAUAGUUGCUGACAUGAGGAGCAGGAUGAGUUUAUAUGUUGCUGGGUUGUCUCGUUAGUCAAGCAAGGAAGGCAAGGCAGCUAUGCUGAUAGGGGAUAUUGACCUAGCAAGAUUUAUGAUUCAUUUACAACAAGUUGAAGAGGAUAAGUUGAAGGAUAGAGAAUAGUUUAAUAAUAAGAGGGCUAAGAUAGUAGGGGAAGGGUUCAAGCAUCAAAAAAAUGAUGCUAAUCAGUCAUCCCUCUCACAGAAACAGAAGGGACCUGCUCCACCAUCUACUAGUGCAUCUGCACCUAAGAACAAAGAUGAGUAUAAUAGAGAUUCCUAUAGUUUCAGGGCUAGACUUGCCUAUCCUCAAGGCAGUAUGGUGCCAAGGGGUAGUAAGGCUCCUGCAUGUGCUUUGUGUGGUAGAACCCACCCAGGUAAGUGUCGCGAUGGCCAAACAGGUUGUUUUAAGUGUGGACAAAAGGGUCACUUCUUGAAAGAGUGCCCAAAGAACAGGCAAGGUAAUGGACAUGUGAGCAAUAGGGCCCAAGCGUCAUCAGUUGCUCCCCCAGACAGGAUGGUACCUAGAGGAGCUACUUCUAGUACUGGCGGAGGAGCAAACCACCUCUAUGCAAUCAAUAGUCCCCAAGAGCAAGAGGAUUCGCCGGAUGUUGCCUCUGGUAUGAUUCGAGUCUUUGACUUUACUGUAUAUGAUUUACUAGACCCAGGAGCAAGUUUAUCUUUUGUAAUUCCUUAGGUUGCUAUGAACUUUGAUGUUAUACCUGAGCAAUCUAGUGAGCCAGUCAUAGAGUGGAGUAGUAGUUCAGCAGUGCCUAAGGGUCAUUUCUUUUCAUACCUCAAGGCGAGAAAGUUAGUUUCGAAGGGUUGUACCUAGCACUUAGUCCGAGUUAAUGACUCUAGUUUUGAGAUACCUCAUUUUCAGUCAGUUCCUAUAGUAAGAGAGUUUCCAGAAGUUUUUCCUGAUGAUCUACCCAGAUUUCCUCCUGAGAGAGAAAUAGAUUUCGGCAUAGACAUCAUUCCAGAUAUUUGUCCUAUCUAUUUUUUUUUUCGCCUUAUGGAAUGGCACUAGUAGAGUUGAAAGAGUUGAAAGAGCAGUAAAAGGGAUCGGUUAGAUAAGGGUUUUAAUAGACCAAGUUGACUCGGAAGAACCACGAAUUUUCAACGGUCUAAAGCUUGUGAGGAAGACUUUCAAGAAUUGAAAGAGAAGUUGAGUACCGCCCAGUUAUGAUAUUUGGUUCUUGAGUACAUACUGAGUAUCUGAAUCUAAAAUGGAUUUGAGAUCAAUAGUCGAGUUUAGGCAAAUCGGGGUGUAAUGUGAUGAGCUAGAGUUGGUUGUUGUAGUUUUGCUUCGAAGAUAUGGCGUCAUUGUUGUAUGAUGUUCAUGUGGGUGUGUUCACUUAAAAUGAGCUUAGUCUCAGACAGAGAGAGUGGUUAAGGUACUCAAGGAGGAUGACGUGAGUUUUCUUUAUCACCCUAGUAAGGUUAAUGUUGUUACAGAUUCUUUAAGCAAAGUUGUCUAUGGGUAGCACCGCCCAUAUUGGAGAAGGAAAAGGAGAGUUAGCAAAAUAUGUGCACAGACUGGCACACCUGAGAGUUAGACUUUUAGAUUCUGUAAAAGGAGGAAUGGAAGUAGCGAGCGAGGCUGAGUCAUCAUUAGUGUCAGAAGUAGAAGGUGAAAAAGACUCGGACCAUGUUCAUAAGCAGUGAUGGCUUUUGAACAAGGGGAGAUGGUGUUUUGAGGUAUCAAGGUGGAUUGUGGAAUUGAUUCCAAGGAUAAUUGAGAUGAUUACCUAUCAUGCAUGGAGUCGCUUACAAUGAUAGUUACCAUUCUAGCACCCAUAUGGCUCGUUAUGAAGCUUUUUAUGGGAGAAGAUGUAGAUCUCUUGUUGAGAUGGUUUGAAGUUAGUAAAGCAGGGUUGAUAGAUCCAGAGUUAGUUCAUCAAGCUAUGGAGAAGGUAAAAGUGAUUCAAGAAAGGUUGAAAACGGCACAGAGUCGUCAAGAGUCCCACACUGAUGUUAGGAGAAAGGCGUUAUAGUUCGAAGUAAAGGAUUGGGUAUAUUUGGAAGGUUUACCCAUGAAGUGAGUUAUGAGGAGAUUCCUGUUCAGAUUUUAGACUGCCAAGUUCGCAAGUUGAGAAUGAAGGAUGUGGCAUCAGUCAAGGUCCUUUGGAGAACCAAUUUGUUGAAGAAGAGAUAUCCAUAUCUCUUCGAAUCCAGACGAAAAGUAGAUCAAGGUACUAAUUUCCUUCUUAGUGUUCUAUAAGUUAUAGUGAGCAUGUUGUUGUUGUUUGCAUGGUUGCUUGUUAGGUGUUUGAGUUGAUGUUACACCUUAGCUAGUAAGAGUAAUCUCAUUCGAAGCUUGUGGAAUGAUCUUUCCAACGCCACCGAGUUUGCUCAAUUCCGAGUUCGUAGGAGUGAGUUAUGGCCUUUGAAAGUUGGGCAGUUGGCAGGGAAUCCGUCCGGAAAUUUUAAGGGCAUUUUGGUCUUUUCCCUAGUUUUCUUUUGGGGUUAUAUUGCGUGUUAGGCUGAUUUUGGAUCAUUUUUAUCCCAUUUUAAAAGAGAAAGAGUUAGGGUUCUUGAGAAUGAAGAAGAGAAGAAGAAGAGAAGAAGAGGAGAAGAAGAGGAGAAAGAGGAGAUCAACAAGUUUCCGUCGUGGAUUUUCGUCGGGGGUGAUCCCUAU